GUAUGCUACAGGUUUUCCGCUGUUUUUGUUUUUUUCAAAUUUAUGAGUCCUUUCAAAUUUGGCAUUUUACAAUUUUGAUGGAUUUUGAAUAUGGGGGAUAUCCUAAUGCCCUAGGAAUUUUUAAAACCUGUUUCAGAAGGGAAAGAGUAUAGAACGAUUAUGUGUUAAGUAUUUACCAUAAAGAAGGCAGAGUAGAGUGUCUGCCCUUAAAGAGCUAGCUAUAACCAUCUCAUGUGUCCCUUAUAUCAAACCAUAUGGGAGAGGUUUAAUUGAUUUCCCUUUUCGCAGGGAAGGGAAUUGAGGCACACAGAGGUUAGAUAACUUGGUUAACUGGCCACAGCCAGUAAAGAAUUAGGAUUUAAGGUUAUCUAAUCUGAGCCAAAACCUGUUGAUCAUUCAUUCAGAAGUUACAAAUAUAUACUGAAUUCCGACUCUAUUCCAGGCACUGUGUAUAUGAGUACAUUGUGGUAAGUAAAACAGGUGUGGUCCUUAUUUCUAGUUUGGCGUCAUCAUUAUCAGUCAGGCCAUCAUCUAUUAAACAGAUAUCCCAGAUAUUUUGCUAAGUGUUUUGCUUGCAUUAUCAAUUAAAAUUGUUACAACUGUGUAUUACUAUUAUUAUUUCUAUCUUAUAGAUGGGGAGACUGUGGCUCAAUGAGGUCAAACAAUUUGCAAUCAGGGAGUAGGGAUGCUUUGAUUAUGGCCAUCAUCUCACUGGCUCACUGUGAAAAAAAGUGAAAGAAGAAAAACUAAGGCCUUCCUUUCCUAUCACCCAUCAAUGUUGGCAGAGAUGGAAAAAACAGAAAAAAUAAACUGGAUCAAAGCUAUACUCAACUUCAAGAUGACUGUUCACUGAGAAAUGUGAAAUUAAUAUGAAAUAUGAAAGAAAACUCUUACUAUGUAAAUGAAUCACAGAAUCCAAGAAAGAUGUGCUGGAUGGGAACUAGAGAUCAUCUAGAUUGCAUUCUGUCUAAUCAGAUCAUAUGAAGGGUCAUCAGCGAACUCCAUCUUGCUAAACAUCUGACAAAGG